GGGCCUAUAGUAAAGUGGUAUUACACGUCGUUCGCAAUGACGAGGCGCGAGUUCAAUUCUCGCUAGGUCCACCA
rnacentral:tRNA from 1 species